UUGAGACAAUCUCUACUGAAUC
rnacentral:miRNA from 1 species